CACGUAGGGGGCAAGCGUUGUCCGGAUUCAUUGGGCGUAAAGAGCUCGUAGGCGGUGUGUCGCGUCGGCCGUGAAAACCUGCAGCUUAACUGUGGGCUUGCGGUCGAUACGGGCAUCACUGGAGUUCGGCAGGGGAGACUGGAAUUCCUGGUGUAGCGGUGAAAUGCGCAGAUAUCAGGAGGAACACCUGUGGUGUAGACAGCUUACUGGACCAUUUCUGACGCUGAGACACGAAAGCGUGGGUAGCAAACAGG
rnacentral:rRNA from 1 species